rnacentral:sRNA from 1 species
AUUCUGCCCAUGCGGGGAAGGAUGAGAAGCUUCGACCAAGGUUCGACUCGAGCGCCAGCGAGAGAGCGUUGCCGCAGGCAACGACCCGAAGGGCGAAGCGCGCAGCGCUGAGUAAUCCUUCUCCCACCACCA